AACGAGGCUCUGUGGUCCAGAACUCCUGCUGCCCCUCCCAGUGCCCUCCCAGUUCACUCCCAAUAUCACUCCCAGUCCUUCCCAGUCCCUCCCAGUCCCUCCCAGUUCCCUCCCAGUCCCUCCCAGUCCCUCCCAGUCCCCUCCCAGUGCUCCCAGUCCCCUCAAAGUUACCUCCCAGUCCUUCCCAGUCACUCCCAGUUCACCCCCAGUAUCAGUCCCAGUUCCCUUCCAGUGUCUCCCAGUGCUCCCAGUAUCACUUCCCAGUCCAUCCCAGUGUCCUCCCACUUCAUCCCAGUUCCCUCCCAGUCCCUCCCAAUCCCCUCCCAGUCCCUCCCAGUUCACCCCCAGUGCUCCCAGUAUCACUCCCCAGUCCUCCCAACUCCCCUCCCAGUCCCUUCCCAGUCCUCCCAGUCCCCCUCCCAGUCCCUUCCCAAUUCCCGCUCCCCAGUCCCUCCCAAUCCCUCCCAUACCCUCCAAACCCCUCCCAGUCCUCCCAGUCCCUCCCAGUCCUCCCCCAAUCCCCUCCAGCCCCCUCCAGUCUCCCCCAAUCCCCUCCCAGUUCCUCCCAGUUCACCCCCAGUGCUCCCAGUAUCACUUCCCAGUUCGUCCCAGUGUCCUGUCACUUCAUCCCAGUCCCUCCCAAUCCCCUCCCAGUUCAUCCCAGUCCCCUCAAAGUUACCUCCCAGUCCCUCCCAGUCCCCCCCAGUCCCUCCCAGUCCCUCCCAGUCCCCUCCCAAUCCCCUCCCAGUCCCUCCCAAUCCCUUCCCAGUCCCUCCCAGUAUCACCCCCACCGGUCGUUACCAAACAUCGCCUUUAUUUCCUGUGCGGGGGGGCCCCAAAAUCCGAGGGGGGGAUCCCCAAAAACCUCCCAGAUUUUUUUGGGGGGGGGUCCCCAAUUUUUUUGGGGGGUGUUUUUGGGGCUUCCUCAAUUUUUGGGGGGGUCCCCCAAUUUUUUUGGGGGGUUCCCCUCGAUUUUGGGGUCACAAAAGUGCUUUUUUGGGGGUUUUCACCCCAAUUUUGGGGGGUCCUGGAGGGUCCCAAAUUUUUGGGGGGUCCCAAAUUUUGGGGUGUCCCCAAUUUAGGGGAUCCCCAAAUUUUUUGGGGGGGUUUCCCCUCGAUUUUGGGGUCUCAAAGGUGCUUUUUUGGGGGUUUUCACCCUAAUUUUGGGGGUCCUGGAAGGUCCCAAAUUUUUGGGGGCUCCCCAAAUUUUUUGGGGGGGUUUUCACCCCAAAUUUUUGGGGGGGUCCCCAAAUUUUUUUGGGGGGUUCCCCCUCGAUUUUGGGGUCACGAAGGUGCUUUUUGGGGAGGUUUUCACCCCAAUUUUGGGGGUUUUUCACCCCA
rnacentral:lncRNA from 1 species